UGCUCCUAGUACGAGAGGACCGGAGUGGACGCAUCACUGGUGUUCGGGUUGUCAUGCCAAUGGCACUGCCCGGUAGCUAAAUGCGGAAGAGAUAAGUGCUGAAAGCAUCUAAGCACGAAACUUGCCCCGAGAUGAGUUCUCCCUGAGACUUUAAGUCUCCUGAAGGAACGUUGAAGACGACGACGUUGAUAGGCCGGGUGUGUAAGCGCAGCGAUGCGUUGAGCUAACCGGUACUAAUGAACCGUGAGGCUUAACCUUACAACGCCGAAG
rnacentral:rRNA from 2 species